rnacentral:rRNA from 1 species
GAUGAACGCUGGCGGCAUGCCUUACACAUGCAAGUCGAACGGUAACAGGUCUUCGGAUGCUGACGAGUGGCGAACGGGUGAGUAAUACAUCGGAACGUGCCUAGUAGUGGGGGAUAACUACUCGAAAGAGUGGCUAAUACCGCAUGAGAUCUACGGAUGAAAGCAGGGGAUCGCAAGACCUCGUGCUACUAGAGCGGCCGAUGGCAGAUUAGGUAGUUGGUGGGAUAAAAGCUUACCAAGCCGACGAUCUGUAGCUGGUCUGAGAGGACGAUCAGCCACACUGGGACUGAGACACGGCCCAGACUCCUACGGGAGGCAGCAGUGGGGAAUUUUGGACAAUGGGCGCAAGCCUGAUCCAGCAAUGCCGCGUGCAGGAUGAAGGCCUUCGGGUUGUAAACUGCUUUUGUACGGAACGAAAAGCCCUGGGUUAAUACCCUGGGGUCAUGACGGUACCGUAAGAAUAAGCACCGGCUAACUACGUGCCAGCCGCCGCGGUAAUAC